AGAGUUUGAUCCUGGCUCAGGACGAACGCUGGCGGCGUGCCUAAUACAUGCAAGUCGAACGCUUCUUUUUCCACCGGAGCUUGCUCCACCGGAAAAAGAGGAGUGGCGAACGGGUGAGUAACACGUGGGUAACCUGCCCAUCAGAAGGGGAUAACACUUGGAAACAGGUGCUAAUACCGUAUAACAAUCGAAACCGCAUGGUUUUGAUUUGAAAGGCGCUUUCGGGUGUCGCUGAUGGAUGGACCCGCGGUGCAUUAGCUAGUUGGUGAGGUAACGGCUCACCAAGGCGACGAUGCAUAGCCGACCUGAGAGGGUGAUCGGCCACAUUGGGACUGAGACACGGCCCAAACUCCUACGGGAGGCAGCAGUAGGGAAUCUUCGGCAAUGGACGAAAGUCUGACCGAGCAACGCCGCGUGAGUGAAGAAGGUUUUCGGAUCGUAAAACUCUGUUGUUAGAGAAGAACAAGGAUGAGAGUAACUGUUCAUCCCUUGACGGUAUCUAACCAGAAAGCCACGGCUAACUACGUGCCAGCAGCCGCGGUAAUACGUAGGUGGCAAGCGUUGUCCGGAUUUAUUGGGCGUAAAGCGAGCGCAGGCGGUUUCUUAAGUCUGAUGUGAAAGCCCCCGGCUCAACCGGGGAGGGUCAUUGGAAACUGGGAGACUUGAGUGCAGAAGAGGAGAGUGGAAUUCCAUGUGUAGCGGUGAAAUGCGUAGAUAUAUGGAGGAACACCAGUGGCGAAGGCGGCUCUCUGGUCUGUAACUGACGCUGAGGCUCGAAAGCGUGGGGAGCAAACAGGAUUAGAUACCCUGGUAGUCCACGCCGUAAACGAUGAGUGCUAAGUGUUGGAGGGUUUCCGCCCUUCAGUGCUGCAGCUAACGCAUUAAGCACUCCGCCUGGGGAGUACGACCGCAAGGUUGAAACUCAAAGGAAUUGACGGGGGCCCGCACAAGCGGUGGAGCAUGUGGUUUAAUUCGAAGCAACGCGAAGAACCUUACCAGGUCUUGACAUCCUUUGACCACUCUAGAGAUAGAGCUUCCCCUUCGGGGGCAAAGUGACAGGUGGUGCAUGGUUGUCGUCAGCUCGUGUCGUGAGAUGUUGGGUUAAGUCCCGCAACGAGCGCAACCCUUAUUGUUAGUUGCCAUCAUUUAGUUGGGCACUCUAGCAAGACUGCCGGUGACAAACCGGAGGAAGGUGGGGAUGACGUCAAAUCAUCAUGCCCCUUAUGACCUGGGCUACACACGUGCUACAAUGGGAAGUACAACGAGUCGCAAAGUCGCGAGGCUAAGCUAAUCUCUUAAAGCUUCUCUCAGUUCGGAUUGUAGGCUGCAACUCGCCUACAUGAAGCCGGAAUCGCUAGUAAUCGCGGAUCAGCACGCCGCGGUGAAUACGUUCCCGGGCCUUGUACACACCGCCCGUCACACCACGAGAGUUUGUAACACCCGAAGUCGGUGAGGUAACCUUUUGGAGCCAGCCGCCUAAGGUGGGAUAGAUGAUUGGGGUGAAGUCGUAACAAGGUAACCU
rnacentral:rRNA from 1 species